rnacentral:rRNA from 1 species
AACGAACGCUGACGGCAGGCCUAACACAUGCAAGUCGAGCGAAGCCUUCGGGCUUAGCGGCGGACGGGUGAGUAACGCGUAGGAACGUGCCCUUUGGUACGGAAUAGCCCCGGGAAACUGGGAGUAAUACCGGAUGUGGUCGAGAGACGAAAGAUUUAUCGCCAAAGGAUCGGCCCGCGUUGGAUUAGGUAGUUGGUGGGGUAAUGGCCUACCAAGCCGACGAUCCAUAGCUGGUUUGAGAGGAUGAUCAGCCACACUGGGACUGAGACACGGCCCAGACUCCUACGGGAGGCAGCAGUGGGGAAUCUUAGACAAUGGGGGAAACCCUGAUCUAGCCAUGCCGCGUGAUCGAUGAAGGCCUUAGGGUUGUAAAGAUCUUUCAGUGGGGAAGAUAAUGACUGUACCCACAGAAGAAGCCCCGGCUAACUCCGUGCCAGCCGCCGCCGUAAUAC